UACAGAGGUCUCAAGCGUUGUUCGGAUUCAUUGGGCGUAAAGGGUGCGUAGGCGGCGCGGUAAGUCGGGUGUGAAAUCUCGGGGCUUAACUCCGAAACUGCAUUCGAUACUGCCGUGCUUGAGGACUGGAGAGGAGACUGGAAUUUACGGUGUAGCGGUGAAAUGCGCAGAUAUCAGGAGGAACACCAAUGGCGAAGGCAGCUCGCUGGGACGGUACUGACGCUGAGGCGCGAAAGCGUGGGGAGCAAACAGG
rnacentral:rRNA from 1 species